UACGUAGGGUGCGAGCGUUGUCCGGAAUUAUUGGGCGUAAAGGGCUCGUAGGCGGUUUGUCGCGUCGGGAGUGAAAACUCAGGGCUUAACCCUGAGCCUGCUUCCGAUACGGGCAGACUAGAGGUAUGCAGGGGAGAACGGAAUUCCUGGUGUAGCGGUGGAAUGCGCAGAUAUCAGGAGGAACACCUAUAGCGAAGGCAGCUUGCUGGGACGUUACUGACGCUAAGGCGCGAAAGCGUGGGGAGCGAACAGG
rnacentral:rRNA from 1 species